CCUCCGCCACCUCUCUUUGGCCUCUUUUCCUCUGGCCUCCCUAAUUUGGCCUCUUUUUGGCCUUUUCGGCCUCUUUUUUUCCCCGGCCUCUCUUAUUUGGCCUUCUUCAGCUCUUUUUCGGCCUCUUUUUUUGCUUUCAGCCUCCAACUUUUGGCCUUUUUGGCCUUCUUUUUGCUUUUGGCCUCUAAUUUCUGGCCUUUUUGGCCCCCAGUUCUUGGUCUCUAUUUUUAUGGCCUCCGCUUUCUGGCCUUUUUGACCUCUUUUUUGUUUCUAUCCUCUAACUUUUGGUCUUUUUGGCCUCUUUUUUUGGAUUUGGCCUCUAGUUUUUGGCUUCUUUUUUCUUUACGGCUUCUGAUUUUUUGUGGUUUUGACCUCUUUUUGCUUUUGGCCUCCAAUUUUCGAACUUUCUGACCUCCUUUUGGCCUUUUUUUUUGUUUUUGGCCUCUAAUUUUGGGUCUUUUGGGCCUCUUUUUUUGUUUUGGUCUCUACUUUUUGGCCUCUUUUUUGUCUUUGGCCUCCAAUUUUUGGUCUUUUCAGUCUUUUUGGUUUUGGCCUUUAAGUUUUUGGCCUCUUUGUCCGUCUUUGGCCUCCAAUUUUUGGCCCUUUUGGCCUCUUCUUCGCCUCUUUUAUUUUGGCCUCUAGUUUUUGGCCUCUUUUUUCUUUAUGGCCUCCACUUUUCAGCCUUUUGACCUCCUUCUUGCUUCUGGCCUCCAAUUUUUGGCCUUUUUGACCUCUUUUUUCCCUCUUUUUUGU
rnacentral:lncRNA from 1 species